UAAAUCCCCAACCCCCAGUAAAGGUUUUAUAAUCAUAGUAGCCAUGUCCUUGGGUCUUGGCAAGUGGCAACAACAACAGGAAGUGUCUUCCUGGAGGGAGUGUCUGCCUACCGGAAGUGUCUGCCUACGGCUUACAAAGAUUAUCGUUUGAUUUUCACUAUUACCUAGUCCGGUUGCUUCGAAGGAGCUUCUUCCAAGCUACUCAGUUCACUCGAGAGUCUUUGCAGCAAGACACUCUGGAAACAAGAGCAGGAGGAUGGCCAUCUAGGAGCCAGUUGUAGCUACAAAGGGAGACCUUGUCACAAAACAACCACACAAGCACGCGAAGACCACAGAAGGGAACCGGAGAAGAAAAGCUCGCCGGUAUCAUUAAACCCAUUGCAUCUCUAA